CGAAAGUUAGAGGUUCGAAGGCGAUCAGAUACCGCCCUAGUUCUAACCAUAAACGAUGCCAGCCAGCGAUCCGGCUGUGUUCCUCAAAUGACACGCCGGGCAGCUUCCGGGAAACCAAAGCUUUUGGGUUCCGGGGGAAGUAUGGUUGCAAAGCUGAAACUUAAAGGAAUUGACGGAGGGGCACCACCAGACGUGGAUGUUGCGGUUCAAUUUGACUCAACGCAGCAAAUCCUACCAGGCCAGGACACAGGAAGGAUUGACAGAUUGAGAGCUCUUUCUUGAUUCUGUGGGUGGUGGUGCAUGGCCGUUCCUGGUUCGUGGAGCGAUUUGUCUUGUUUAUUCUGAUAACGGACGAGAUUCUAGCCUACUAAAUAGACGCUUCGAUCCUUCGAGUCGAGCGUUCUUCUUAGAGGGACAGGCGGUGUUUAGCCGCACGAGGCAGAGCAAUAACAGGUCUGUAAUGCCCUUAGAUGUCCUGGGCCACACGCGUCCUACAUUGAAGGAAUCAACGUGUGCUUUCCCUGUCCGAAGGGACUGGGUAACCCGUUGAACCUCCUUCGUGCUGGGGAUAGGAAAUUGUAAUUAUUUUCCUUGAACGAGGAACUUCUAGUAAGCGCGAGUCAUCAUCUCGGGUUGAUUAGGUCCCUGCCCCUUGUCCACACCGCCCGUCGCUAUUACCGAUUGAAUGAUUUAGUGAGGUCUUCGGACUGGCGCUCGGAUUGGCCUUCGGGUCGAGCCGGCGUGCCGGAGAGAUGACCGAACUUGACCAUUUAGAGGAAAUAAAAGUCGUAACAAGG
rnacentral:rRNA from 1 species